rnacentral:rRNA from 1 species
CAGUCGCCGCGGGAAUACGAAGGGGGCUAGCGUUGCUCGGAAUGACUGGGCGUAAAGGGCGCGUAGGCGGCGAUCAAAGUCAGGCGUGAAAUUCCUGGGCUCAACCUGGGGGCUGCGCUUGAUACUUGGUUGCUUGAGUGGGGAAGAGGGUCGUGGAAUUCCCAGUAUAGAGGUGAAAUUCGUAGAUAUUGGGAAGAACACCGGUGGCGAAGGCGGCGACCUGGUCCUUGACUGACGCUGAGGCGCGAAAGCGUGGGGAGCGAACAGGAUUAGAUACCCGCGUAGUCCCUGUCUCUUAUAC